AGGAGCGUUGGAUUAGGUCUGGCUUCUUCCUCAGCUCGAAUUUUUGUCAUGGGAGUCCCGUUCCUGAGACUGCUGGCAUUAGAAUAUCCUUGGCUGCCAACCUUAAUACUGGGCGUCGGCUGUACCACCACAGCAAUCAUGCUUAUGAUUAUGUUGCCAGAAACGAAAAACAAAACAUUGCCCCAAACCACAGAAGAACUCCAUCAUAUGCAGCUUGAAAAGAAGGCAAAGCGCAGUAGUGUUAGUCCCUCAUUGGGCCAAACUUGAAACCCAGAUAAAACUGAAAGGAAAACACAACGAAAUGUAUAAUAUAAAACAGGAGCGGUUCAAAACAGUCAAUGAGCUUGCCACUCUACCUGUCGUAAUAUAAUCAUGGGUAAAAAAAGAAAGAUAUAACAGCGUCUGAAAAGUGAUGGCAUGUCCUCUUUGAACAUUUUGAAGCAGCUUAGCCGAGAUCAUCGAACAAUAAAAAAAAAAAUUAAAGAUAUAACAAAGAACAGGAAAUCAAAGUUUGGAAAGGGGUUCAAGAACUUGUCCACGGGAGAUAAACGUCAUCUGAAAAGCGUUGUCGCUAAAAACCCACUACUCAGUUGUGAUAAGAUAUUUAAUAUGACUGGGAUUGUUGGAGUAAAGAGAGAUAAAAGGUGUAGAGUCCUUCACGACAUUGGUGCUAUGAAAAAAUCUCCUCGCCAGCCUCCUUUAUUUCCAACUAAUAUCGAUAAACGUCUAAAGUAGGCAAAAAAAAGUACUUAAAAACAGAUUUCAGAAACGUUAUAUUCACUGACUAAUCGCGCAUCACAUUAGAUGGUCCAGAUGAUGGGCUAAAGGAUGGGUUCUGUCAGGCCAUGACGCUCCUAUGAUGAGAAGACAGCAACAAGGUGAUGGUGGUGUAAUGAUAUGGGCUGGUAUUGUUAAUAGAACCAUCACUGGGCCAUUUAAAGUUCACGAAGAUGUAAAAGUCAAUUAUUGUGAAUUCUUGGAUCAAACUUUUUCUUUGAAUGGUAGAAGCGUCAACCUCACAGUUUCAAGAUAAAAUGCAUGUUUAUGCAUGACAAUGCUUCUCACCUAACUCGUGAGUUUCUUGAGUGCAAACGACUUGCUGAAGACAAAAUAAUGGAGUGGCCACCAUCAAGCCUUGACUUGAACUCAGUAGAAAACCUCUGGUCAGGAGGCAAACAGUACAACAGUAAGGUAGAACUGUAGGAUACUAUACAAAGUAUUACAGCUGCAGUUUCACCAGAUCGAAUUGGAAAACUAAUAAAUUCAACGGACAACAGAUUAGUAACUUUGAUUGAAAAGAAAGGUCGUUAUAGCAACAUGUAAAUUGUUUCAACUAUAUAUUAAAACAUUGUUCUUUGAAUUAGUAAAAAGUUCAUAA